GAGUAGUAUAAGUUAAUAUCUUGAAACUCAAAAAAUUUGGCGGUAUUUUAUCUUAUUAGAGGAACCUGUUUGUUAAUUGAUAUUCCACAACUUUAAUUUACUUUUAUAAAAUUAUUUGUAUACCGUUGUCAUGAAUCUAUUAAAAAAUAAUUUUCAAAUUUUUUUAUGAAAUUUAUGUUAGAUCAAGGUGCAGUUUUUAAAAGAAAAAGAUGGGUUACAUUAUUUAUUAUGAAUGAAAAUUAUUAUUAAUUUAUUAAUGGAAAUAGGAUUUAACAGUAAAUAUAAUUAAAAGAUUUUUUAUGAAUAAAGAUUCUAAAAUAUG
rnacentral:rRNA from 1 species